AAACACACUCAGAGCGGAGAGGAGGAGGAGGAGGAGGAGGAGACACAGAUGUUCUUUGUACUGAGGAAACAUCUGGACUACAGCGAGGGGCGCACAAAUACCACAAAUAUACCACCAAACACACGCACGCGCGCUCUUUGGAGGAGAGGAGAACACCAUCAGGAGUCCAUGAUGCUGCUGUCCUCCUCCUCCUCCUCCUCCUCCUCUGCUCUUCAUCUUCUCCUUUCA